rnacentral:rRNA from 1 species
GACGAACGCUGGCGGCGUGCCUAAUACAUGCAAGUUGAGCACUGAAGGUUGGUACUUGUACCAACUGGAUGAGCAGCGAACGGGUGAGUAACGCGUGGGGAAUCUGCCUUUGAGCGGGGGACAACAUUUGGAAACGAAUGCUAAUACCGCAUAAAAACUUUAAACACAAGUUUUAAGUUUGAAAGAUGCAAUUGCAUCACUCAAAGAUGAUCCCGCGUUGUAUUAGCUAGUUGGUGAGGUAAAGGCUCACCAAGGCGAUGAUACAUAGCCGACCUGAGAGGGUGAUCGGCCACAUUGGGACUGAGACACGGCCCAAACUCCUACGGGAGGCAGCAGUAGGGAAUCUUCGGCAAUGGACGAAAGUCUGACCGAGCAACGCCGCGUGAGUGAAGAAGGGUUUCGGAUCGUAAAACUCUGUUGGUAGAGAAGAACGUUGGUGAGAGUGGAAAGCUCAUCAAGUGACGGUAACUACCCAGAAAGGGACGGCUAACUACGUG